GGGCUAAUGCUAGCAUUAGCCAUGUCAUCGAGGCGCACUGUGGCCAAUCUUUGCGUUGUGCCUGGACAAUCGUGUCGUCGGAGCAGGCCUGCUAUCCCAGAAAUAUCUCUCCUUUGUUUUUCCCACACGCAACCUCCUCUCCCCACUCCCCAUCGAGGGUUGUUGCUGCCGCCGCCGCUGCCCCCAUUGAUCCUCCGGCGCUGGCCACCGAAGGAAGGCUGGCUUCACCGGCAGAUCUUUUCCUCUUGGUGACUUUCUCGUAGAAAGGUUCAGCGCUGUGCCUCUCCACGGUCCCGAUAGCAAGGCGGGCGCCACCGCCAGGUCUCGUCCCAAGGAAGCCGCAGCAGGACGAGCACAAUCCAGACAACGUCGAUGCGGUCGUCGGCGCCUCCUCCGCCGCGGGAUCGAACGGGCUGGUGGAGAGGAGCGCGGCUCUACGCCCUCCUCAGUCGAGGGUUGGACGGAGCCCUCAGCUGCAGGGAAACGGCCGAUGGAGGUGAGCUCCUCCUCGCCCGCCGGCCCUAUGCCACCGCCCUCCUGAACAGCUCCAGGGCGACUAGGCCAACGCAUCGCCGCAGCAUGCGCUGGAAGAAGACCUCUGUACGAUGACAUUUGGGCGGCCUUUGAAUGGUGAAGGUGAUGGUAAGUGUCUAUCAGUUCUGAACUCGUUUGAAGAGACAAUAUCUCGUGAACUACGUGCAUGUAAAUCCCAAGCAUUGUUGAAGAAAAAAAACACUAGAAGGUACUUGUAUUGUCAUGUCAGAUAUCCUUUGAUGCAAUUACAUGUUCAUUAUUUUGCAUUGCGUAAAACCUUGUUCCUUGUUUUUUCAAUUUGCUGAUGUCACGGUCCUCGGUCCUAGCUCCAGUAGUAAUCUUGAGCUCAUGCAUACCAAGAUAAAAUCUAUCCUUUUACUAAACAUACACCAAAUAUAUGUCCUUGUUUUUUUUAAAUUACAACUAGCUUUCAUUUAGCUCUGAAAUUUUUGGACUGCUGAUUAGUUUGCAUCAAAUUGUUUUGUACAUGAAGUUUUUGAAGUAAGUAGGUACUUCAUGUUAAGAUACUUCUAACUUAGUAUUUAGAUUGCAACACGGAAUUAAUAAAAGAAUUUGGACACUGGGCAUUGGAAAUGAAAGGGAAGUUAUUGAAUUACUUGGUAAAUGCUUGGCAUAUUUAAUUUGAACAUACACGUGGUGUGCAAUUUGUAGGUUUUGUGUUGUUAACUAGAAAGUUCUAUUAGGACAUAUUUUGAAUCGCUACAAGAUAAUCCUGAGCUGGAAGAGGGUUACUGCAGAGCCUUGUUGUGAGAUUACAUUUUCGUAAGGUCUUAACCCAUGUUUCUUUUCCAAUUCUUUAAGUUGCUCAGUCUGCUUUCCUUAAUGCUGAUACUUGAUGUGUGUAUGAUUCAUGAAUCAUAUUGGUCAUCUAUGUUUGUGUUGUAUUAUUGUGAUAACGCAAUGGUUUCAAAUUAAAUAAUGGCAAAUCAAGUUAUAAGCUGGUGCUAUCCAAAUUGGGAAGUUUUAAGAAUUUGCCACUGCAUUCAUUGGCAGAUGCGGAUUUACCACUUGAUGUUUCAUGUCAUUUGGGUCCUGAACAACUGUCAUUGAGAUAAUGGAGUGAGACUGAAAUGCCAUUGAAUUGAGUGGCAACCCUCAGUUUCUCUUUAAAUUGUCGGUGAGAGGGGAGGGACAAAGAGUUUGUUUCGGCACACCACUUUACCCACUGUAUGCAUUGAUUGCAAUUAUUGUAUUUUUACUAGAACUAAAUGUUAUGUCGUAUAUCAUAGGGAAACAAGGUUUUUUCAAGAAUUAGGCGAUGAACGAGCAUUUUUCCUCCGCUUUGCCGUUUCUGAACGAAGCGCACACCUAAGCAUAAUAAGCGCACGUUAAGCGCUGGUGGUUUUGCCUCCGGUCAGCACAUAGGAGCACCGAACUUUCCACUGUAGGGAGAUGUGCAAAUAAAGACCACUAUAGCUGAAUGCAUAAAUGAAGGCCAAGUUUAGUUCCGUGUGAUCAUCUGACCGAUGCUUAAGAGGGGUAUUCAUCAAUUUUUAAAUGUCAUCGCACUUCUGUAUGGCCGUGUAGCACUUUAGCAUGUCAUUGUGUGCAUGAGCAAACCUCAUGCAUGAAUACCGUCAUUUCUGAAGAUGAUACAUAAGAGGAUUUUAAUUGAUUUCUGAAUGUCUUCAUAUUUAUCCGUAUUAUUAACAAUGUAGCUAGUUAGCUUACUUCUGCAAAUACCCAUCUAUUUUUGUUUCAUUGGUAUAUCCAUAACUGUUUUUUAGGAGUCUACCGUUUCAUUGCUAUUUUUCCUUUAUAAUAAAUGAUCCCUCGUAUAUAAAUAGCUUUGAGGUUUUCUUAGUCCAGUAAAGCUCAUUUAUGAUGUAAAAUUGAAUUUCUGAUAGCUGGCUCAUUUUUUAUUCCAUUAGGCCCUCUUGUAGAAAUAUGAUUUUUUCCCUGUCCUAAGUCUCAUCCUGGCAAAUAUGUAUUCAGUGAGUUACUAUGUUAUUGUUUCCCUCUUACAUUAACAAUGAUGCAAAAAUUGAAACAUACCUUACUUGUUCAGGAUGGCAAGCUUUAUGGGCGAGACUUGUUUUGUGAUGUAAUUUCAAGGGCCAUGUCAUUAAUGGACAUUAUAGGAGAUAAAGAGUUCCAGUCGAAUGAGUUUGUAGUGCAACUAGGUCAGGUCAGCCACCAGGGUUAUUCCUUUUUUCAACCUUUACGUCGUACAUAAUUGUUUCUUGGUUAUUACUCCCUCCGUCCCAAAAUAAGUGUCUUGAGCUUAGUACAAAUUUGUACUAGAGCUAAUACAAAUUUGAGACACUUAUUUUUGGACGGAGGGAGUAUUACUCAUGCAGUCAUAAAAAUAUAUCUGGACUUCUGACGUGGUGGUCGCUCAGAUCCCAGCCUUGCUUCCACAGGUGUACCAGUUCCUCUCUGUAUAUUCUUUGAUUUUUUCAGUCCAGUUCAUCUUUCAUAGGUAAUCCUUUGCAACAAUUUUAUAAGAUGCUGAAAUCAAAGGUGUGGGCUCUAUUUGAUGAGCAAAGUCUACUAUAAAAUCAAGAACACAAGGAGGAGUAUGGGCCUGCACGUGCCUAUAAGAAGAAGAUGGCUUGAAGUGAUUUGUUUUUUUUUCCAGUUGCGUCGAUGAUGAGAUCUUCGUCAUGGACCUCAACAAGGGUGUUGUCUUCAUAGGUAGCUCCCUCCGCCACUCGAUUUGUCUCAUGUGGGUCUCGUGAACACUUUGGAGCCAUGACCUGACAUUAUAUACUAAUGAAUCAAAGAGCAAUAUGUUGGGGAA